GACGAACCGUGCAAACGUUGUUCGGAAUCACUGGGCUUAAAGGGCGCGUAGGCGGCUUGCCAAGUCAGUGGUGAAAUCCUGCAGCUUAACUGCAGAAGUGCCUUUGAUACUGGCGAGCUCGAGGGAGGUAGGGGUAUGUGGAACUUCUGGUGGAGCGGUGAAAUGCGUUGAUAUCAGAAGGAACGCCGGUGGCGAAAGCGACGUACUGGACCUCUUCUGACGCUGAGGCGCGAAAGCCAGGGGAGCAAACGGG
rnacentral:rRNA from 1 species